UUUAACAGACAUCACAUCGAGCAAAACCUUCAAUCAUCAUCAGUAAAUAAUUAUAUUUUUUAACAGACACCACAUCGAGCAAAAUCAUCAACCAUCAUCAUCAUCAUUAUUUACGGCAAGUUACGAGCAAGGAAAACAUCAAAAAAACGACACCACAUCAUCAAUCUCCCUUGCCCCCGAAGUGUUCGCUGAUUCAACCAUAUUUCGCAUCGGUAAAUUCGUCUUAUUGUUCGCUGUCAACUCUACACUGGGACAAUAUCGUAACUUGUGUCCUCCCCCACAAGCCCAACACUCCACUCUCCUUCUUGUGUUAUAUGGUGCUAUCCUGUGAACCCCUCUCGUUGGCGUCUCUUGUAGCCAAUCUCCAUAUCUUUGUUUUGCUUCGUUCCUAGCGGCUUCUACCCAUCUGUUGGACUCUUCUGAACCGUCAACCUCUCGGAUCUCUAUCUUCAUUAUUUUGUUACCCACUCUAACAUAGGAGGCCAUCUAAAUCAAAUACUUUAUACACAUAUAUAUAUAUAUUCUUCGACUUUCUUCUCUAACUCUUUAUAAAAUAUAACUCUCCUAAUUAAGUCUAACAUCCCUUUUAUUUCCUACAACGUAUGAUUCUCCUACUACGUCUAUCAUCACGUUAUUCCUUUCCAAAUUAUGAUUCUCCUACUAUGUCUAUCAUCAAUUUAUUCCUUUCUAAAUUAUGAUUCUCCUACUAUGUCUAUCAUCAAUUUAUUCCUUUCUAAAUUAUGAUUCUCCUACU